rnacentral:rRNA from 1 species
UGGGGAAUAUUGGACAAUGGGCGAAAGCCUGAUCCAGCCAUGCCGCGUGAGUGAUGAAGGCCCUAGGGUUGUAAAGCUCUUUCAACGGUGAAGAUAAUGACGGUAACCGUAGAAGAAGCCCCGGCUAACUUCGUGCCAGCAGCCGCGGUAAUACGAAGGGGGCUGGCGUUGUUCGGAAUUACUGGGCGUAAAGCGCACGUAGGCGGAUUGUUAAGUGAGGGGUGAAAUCCCAGGGCUCAACCCUGGAACUGCCUUUCAUACUGGCAAUCUAGAGUCCGGAAGAGGUGAGUGGAAUUCCGAGUGUAGAGGUGAAAUUCGUAGAUAUUCGGAGGAACACCAGUGGCGAAGGCGGCUCACUGGUCCGGUACUGACGCUGAGGUGCGAAAGCGUGGGGAGCAAACA